GCAGCGAUCACAACAAAUUACAAUCACAUUGUAGGAGCAGGGUUGCUGUGCUCUCAGGAGCACGGAGGCUUCCGUGCUCUUGAGCCGUUUUCGAUGAUGGAGUUUUCGAAUCAACGAUCGGCUUCGUAAAACUUGAUCUAGUGUACUUGAAGUUUCUAGAAAAUAAUAUUUGCGAUUUUUCGAUAUCAUUUACCUAGUAAUCGAAAGGAUUCAAAAUCAAUAAUUUUUAACGGCUGAAAAUAAAAAUUCUAUAAAAAGUGGUGAUAUAACACUAAAAAUUUCGAUCAGAAAUAUUAAUUUUGUUGUAGAUAGUAUAAAAAAUUUUGUAUCAAAAUUUCAUCUGAUUUGAAUACUUCUACACCGUUAAACUUGAAAACGGCAGAUAUCAACCAUUAAAAAUUAUGGAUUUUGAAUCAUUUCAAUCACUAGGUAAAUGAUAUCAAAAAAUCGCAAAAAUUAUUUUCUAGAAACUUCAAAUGCGCUAGAUCAAAGUCUAACGGAGCCGAUCGUCGAUUCGAAAAUUUUAUCAUCAAAAACGGCUCAGGAGCUUCUGAGAGCUCAGCAGCCCUGCUCCACAUUGUAGAUGUACAUAUAAAAUGGGGUGGAGUGUUUCUGAUCACAAAGGUUGGCACAGAAAUAUAAAUGGUAAGCAAAUUGCUCCAGUUUAAAAAAAUAAGGAGGCCACAGAGUCCAGCACUAUAGGCCAGAAUCGAUCUAGCCGAAAAUCAGAAGAGGGUGGUGAAUAGGAGUUGAAGCAAAAUUUUUAAAAAAAGAGGAAAGGGUGGUUCGAAAGCGCUUUGCAUCUUUUAGCUCUCGCCGAUGAUCCUCUACUGCAUCUCAUCUCAUGUUUUAACCUUUUUCUAUUUACUAAACAAUCUUUUAUCCACUCAAAAAGUGGAUUAUUUGGUUGGGAGUAAAAUGUAACGGAGGAUUGAUGAGGGGAAAGGGUACAAACUUGUAAAUAAAUGCACGAAAACAGUUAUUUCUUGUUUGAUAUAUAGGAUAUUAUUCGAGAUCGGUGGUUUGACUUAAUUAUUUCUUGAUUUCUAAUCAAUGUUUGACCUAGCUUUGAUUCAGGCCUUGAUUUUCCUGCCUUUUAUAUGAUGAUACUGAGAAUAAUUUUUAAAAUUCGAUAAGAGAAUGAAGUUUGCGUUAAUAAAGAGAAAUGAUAAAAUGAAGGUAGAUGAUUGGAUGGUUCGCUGCCGACGUGGUGGACCAGGACUAGACAUUAACCCCCAGGGGGAUUAUGAAUUAGGAAAAACUUUGUAACGGUCCAUAAGGGUAUUUCUGGUAUUUUGGACUAAUUUGAAUCGAGGAAGAGAGAGGGAGUCCAUUUCUAAUUGAUCCAACUACACAGCCUCACAGUACGACGACGACGACGACGGCGAGGACGAGGACGAGGACGAAACCCUAAAAUUCGACGAAGAGAGAAGAAAUUUUGGGCGAACGAUUCCAUUUUUAAUCGAUCCAACCAAAUCCGCGUGACUACAACCACGACGAAGGAGAAACCCUAAGAGAUCGAUGAAGAGGGAGGAGACUACCUUCGGCGGAAGCGCGAUGCAAGACCUCUUCGGAUCCGUGCGCCGAUCCUUCGUCGGAAGACCAAACCCUAGCGCGGAGGAGAGAUCCAACGGCGGAGGGGUGAGCCGGAUCGCGGAGAAGAUCGGAUCUUGCCUCAGGAAAUCGAGGGUCGGAUUGGACAUAGGGUUAGGGUUAGGGUUCUUGCCCAAGAGCCUAACCCCGCCCCGAAGGAUUGCAAGCACCGCUGCCGCCGAGGUCGAGGCCCCUCAGAUCCGGUGGAGGAAGGGGGAGCUUAUCGGUUGCGGCGCCUUUGGACACGUCUAUAUGGGCAUGAAUCUAGAUUCCGGGGAGCUAAUCGCCAUUAAGCAGGUCCUCCUUUUGAUUCUCUAAUUAUGGUUACGGUUAGGGUUUGCUUUAUCAUUUUGAAGUGAUUAUUAAUUGUAUUUGGCUUAUGUUGCUGAUGCUAGAUUGGUGGCGUUUUUGUAGGUUUUGAUCGGUGCGAGCAAUGCUUCCAAAGCAAAAGCCCAAGUUAGUAUCUUUUGUGCCUUGAAAGUUGUGUUUAAUUCAUUGUAACAAAGAUUUCAUUGACAAAGAUCGCUGCUUGCAAAAAUUUUUAAACUCUAUUUGGUUCUGAGAUUUUCUCUCCGAAAUAUGUUCUCAGGCUCAUAUCAGGGAACUCGAGGAAGAAGUGAAGCUUCUCAAGAACCUUUCUCAUCCGAACAUUGUUGUGAGUGAAGGGAGAUAUCUCAGUUUUAAUGAAACAAUGCCUUUUAUCUAAGGCAGUUCCGACUGAUAUUUCACUUUUUUUUUCCCAUAUUGAACAGAGAUACUUGGGAACUGCAAGAGAGGAAGAGACAUUAAAUAUCCUGUUAGAGUUUGUUCCGGGCGGAUCUAUUUCAUCAUUGCUUGGGAAAUUUGGAUCAUUUCCUGAGGCUGUAGGCAAACCAUCUUUUUUUUUUUUUUCCUCUUUAAUCUGCUCAUUUCAGUUAUGCAAAAUGCUCCGUAAAGAAUUGUUAAUUCUUUUUUGGUAAACAGGUUAUUAGAAUGUACACGAAACAGCUUUUGCAAGGAUUAGAGUAUCUACAUCGUAAUGGAAUUAUACACAGGGAUAUAAAGGCAUACCAUCUGAACUUAGUUAGGUUUUGGGGUUCUUUUUUUCACAUAUCUGUUUAUUUUCUUGGGAAUGUAAUAGUAUUUUGUUUACUAAUGUGGAUUUCAGGGGGCAAACAUACUUGUCGAUAACAAAGGUUGCAUUAAGCUUGCCGACUUUGGGGCAUCUAAGCAAGUUGCUAAGCUGGUAAGAAGAUGAUCCAAUUUUUGUUCUUCAUUUGAUUGUAACAAGCCAUAUAAGUGAUGUUACAUCUAAAUCUCCUUUUUAGCCUAACAAAUUUAGAGUCUUAAUUCUUCAUUGUUGUAAAUUAUUAAGCUAAGCGAUGCAAUGGGGUUUUGAACAUAGAAAUUUAGCCGGAUUCUUUGUCUGCAAGAGUGAAUGCAUUUGCUUGCAUAGGAUUGAGGCUAGAUAUAAACUAUUUAUCUGAUGUGUUCUUGGGUUUAUGUACAUUAUGUGCGAGUUGGUUGCAAUUGAGUCAAAAGUGUAUCUGUCCCAUCUAAGUACUUCUCUAAAUUGGCAAUUGAGGGUUAGUUAAGGACCAUGUUAUGUUUUAGUCAUUUUCUCAAACUGCUUAAAUAACUACUCUUGCUGCUUAUUUUCAAUGAGAAAAUUUUACAUUUUUACUCAAGCAAACGAAGGAAACAAGGACAAGCAGGAAGUGUUGACUGGCCAAAUCCCUGGGUUCUCAACUUGAUUGAGGUUUUAUGCCGAGAUUACUGGACAUACAUGAUAUUGUUUCACAUUUUAUUUAAGGUUAUCGUUAUGAGGAGGAAACAAAUUUCGUUGGAAGAGAUACAUUAAGAAUCGAAUUAUUCCUAGACAUGUUUAUUGCAAAACAGGAAAUUUUCUUGUACCCUGAUUUCUGUUUCUUCACUAUUAGCGCCUUAGUGUUCAUAUAUUUUUAUCUUAUUGUUUUACUUCAUUGGCUAAUUAGUGGCUUUCAUAUUUUACUAGGCAACUAUGACAGCUGCUAAGUCUAUGAAAGGUACUCCGUAUUGGAUGGCACCAGAAGUAAUUGUUCAAAGUGGACAUAGCUUGUAAGGGCUAGAAAUUUUUGUUGGUUGCCUUACUGCUCUGUUUUUAAUUGUUUUUUAGAAUAUUUGGAUUUGAGAGCCUGGUAUUUUUCUUUGCUUUUAAAUGUUCUUAGUUCAAUGUCCUCUUAGUCCAGAUGCUGAAAAUCUUUCCCUAUUUCUUUUAAUCAAUGAAUGAAUGAUAAUAUGUAGAAUUAAAGACGUAUAUGUUGAAACUUUAGAUAUUUAUAUAUUUCCCAAGUGAAUUGGCUUGUAGCUUAUUGUUAUUUCUGAUGGUUUUGUGUGGAGAAGAAUAGCUUAUUGUUUUUUCUAUAGAAGUUUCAGUUCAUAAUGGUACUUUGAAAGUCAUGCUAGCGCAUAAUUUUUAAAUUUCCUCAUAACUAACCUAGUUCUCUAUUGAUAAGUCUUUCACUAAUUUUGUAAAACAUCAUCUUGCAUUCGGUUGUUUUUUUUAUUUUUAAGUCACGUGUGUGUGGUCCAUCUCAGCUCUGCUGACAUUUGGAGUGUUGGUUGUACUGUUAUUGAAAUGGCUACUGGUAAACCGCCGUGGAGCCAGCAAUAUCAAGAGGUAAAGCUUACUGUUUAAAAUAAGACAAAUAAAUCCAGUUCAUUGUAAAUCUUUUUUUGAACUUAAAUAAAUCUAGUUCAUUGCAAAACUUCCAUUAUUUGACCAGCACUACAAAUUUAUUCAGGUUGCCGCAUUAUUCCAUGUGGGGACAACAAAGUCACAUCCACCUAUUCCAGAGCAUCUCUCCUUGGAGGCCAAGGAUUUUCUUCUGAAAUGCUUACAGGAGUAUGUACAUAACUCUCUCUCUCUCUCUCUCUCUCUCUCUCUCUCUCUCUCUCUCUACUUUGUUGCACCCAUACUCUUCCAGUAUAAGGUUAAUUGCAGGAAAAUAUGAUUAUAUAGCUAAAAGUCGAUUUAGCCCCUAACUCAUUAUCAUUGCAGCAUUCUCAUGUCGCAUUCAGUAAUUACCUUUCAUUUAAACAUCAUACUUCUGAAAAGUGUCUGAAUCAUGAGCACUUACAAUGAAUAAUAACACGCAAAUUAAAUUGUUUGAGAAUUAUAAAAUAUUUGUGUUUCAUCAAACUACUCUGCUCAAACUGCGCCUUUGUAGAAGCUCCGGUAAAGCAAAGAGGUCCUAAGACAAACAUUUAUCCUAUCCCUCAAUAUUAUGUAUUAAUAAGACUGGAGGAGCUUUUCCCUUCAACAGUUUUACCUAAUAAUCACAGUUGCUGUAAAUUGAUCUUUUAAUUGAUCAUCUUUGUCAGUCCUUUUUAAAAAUAUGACCAUCUAUUGACUUGCUUUCACUUUUGAAGAGAACUUGGGGAAUGUAUUCUGAAACAACUGGGAUGUCAAGUGAAGUUGGUCAUGAUGUUGCUUUCAGUGACCAUUUUAUUUCUUCUAUGGUUCAUUUGUGAGUUCUUACUUGUAUCAUGACAUUCUUUUUUCAGAGAACCAAGCUUGCGGCCUACUGCAUCAGAUCUGCUCCAGGUACUAUUGUUUUGAGUGUGUUAAUUGUAUCAAAAUAGUAGAUCAUUAUAGUAUGUUAAAUUAUUUUCUGUGUGUUCAUCCUGUUGUGUAAAUUAUCCUGAGAUAAAUCCUGAUUCCUUAAAUAUUUCCAAGCAGCAUCCAUUUGUUACGGGAGAAAUUGAGGAUCCACAUCAAUCAAGUCGUGUUGUGAACAAGGUUAAACUGGCCUACAGCAACCAGUUGAUUUUAUUUCAUUAAAUACCUGUGCAUUAGAAUUUAUCACCCUGAUAAUGCCCCAUGACAGGAGUCCUCCGAAAUUGAGCAUGCGGCAUCUAAACUGCAAGCAAAUAACUCGUAAGUAUUGGUGACACUUUUUUGUUCGUCAGAUGCAAUGAAAAAACUGCUUGAAUUAUGGGGAUUAUGUAUACCUUCAAAUCUGUUUAACGGCUUGAAUAAUGAUAACUGUGAUCAUUGCAGCUGCUCAACUAUGAAAUCUAAUAACGUCUUGAGAGCCGGUCCAAUCUGGGAUUCUAUGAACAAUGACGACAUGUGUCAAUUUGCUGAUGCAGAUGAUUUUCCAGUGGUUGGAUCAGUAUGAUUUUUGUUUUGUCCUUGAUUGCUUACUGCUCAGUGGAAUGAUUAAACCACAUACUACCUUCAGUAGUUAGAUAAUUGAGAUUUUUUUUGUAUUAUUUAUUCUUUUAUUUUUUUGCCAGAGCUUCAAUCCAAUGUCUGAACCAUUUGAUGAGUGGCCAUGCAAUCUCAAGAUAAGUGCAGAAAUAAAAAUGAGUCAAAAAGACUUUGGUGAAUUGUUAAAUGGUGCUCCCAACGGUGGUAAGGAUAGGGAAAAUGAGUUCACUUUCCCUUGUGACUCAAUGUGUGAUGAUGAUGAUGAAGUCACAGAGUCAAAAAUUAGGGCUUUUCUUGAUGAGAAGGUAUGCUUACAAGAAUUCUUAUGCAAUUUGUUUACGUUACUAUUCUUCGUGCAUAUAUACAAUUGAUCAUAUUUGAUAGCCUUAUAAUGAUUUGCAAAUAAAUUGAAAAAAUUGCUACUGCUUAUCAGGCUCUCGAUCUAAAGAAACUGCAGACACCUUUAUAUGAGUUCUACAACACCUUGAAUGCCACCAAUUCUCGAUGUGUUACCAGUAUUUGCAAUGAAAAUAUAAUGGCUAAUUCAAAAUUGCCUCCUAAAUGCAAGUCUUCACCAAAGAAGGUUGUUAGUGGGACAUCUACGCCACAGUCUGAUAAUGAGAAUAAUAAUAAUUUGAGCCCUGGGAGCUGCAGCAUGCGUGCUUCGGUCAGCACUUUGGAGAAUAGUCGAAUUUUAAGAGAAAUAGCUUCUCCUGAGUGGGGCGAUUCUCUUCAAGAUGCUAAACAAGAACCAACCAGCGCAAGGUUUGUUAGCUGACAUCUAUGAUUGAUAUAAGAUUUGGACUUGGAUACCUAACUUAUCUCCCUAAAGAACUUGAAAGGUUUAGUGAUAAAUGAAUACUAGCAAGUUAAUCAAUUGAAAAUAUUGUAACCAAAUUUCUUUAGUAUUUUUUUUUUUUUUUUUACCUAUCUCUCUCUUGGUAUCAUUAUCUGUGUCGUCUGAUCCAAAAGAAUGCAUUUUGAGCAGUGUAAGCGCCUCUGAGAAAGAAAGGAAGUGGAAAGAAGAGCUGGAUAUGGAGCUUGAGAGAGGAAGAGGUAAUCAUUAUCAUCUCGAUAUGUAUGGUAUAUACGUAAGGAUGCAUUUUUUAAAAUUUACAGUUAGAUCUGUGUUGAAUCUCUCAACAGAAAUGCGCCAAGCUGGCCUUGGUAAAACAUCUUCUCCAAAGGAAAAAGGCCCGAACCGAAAGAGAGACCGACAACGGUUCACAUCUCCAACCAAGUGAUUGCAGAAGCAUUUCUACCAUAGCCGAACAAAUGGUCCAUCUCAUCCUUUUAAGUUUGGAUAAUACAAAAGGUGUGCCGUUCCAUAAAUGUUGCCCCCAUCUUACCAUCUCUAUUAGUUGACGAGCAGAAGAAGGCUAGAUGUCGAUACCGGAGGCAUUUUUGCUGGUUCAAACACAGAGAGAAUCACGAAGCAAUGCCGAGUGGACAAUGCAGUUGCGAGCUGCCCAGUAAUCUUGUAAUUUGUGAAGAAUGUAAUGUUUCCUUUUUGAAGAAAUUGUUGAUUGCGUAUGACCAUAUUGACUGGCAUGUUUGGAAAUCACAGUUAUAUAAUGUAGGUUUUCCGUGUAGUUUAGUGGACAUAUUUGUUUGCCAUUUGAAUUAUUUAGUCUUUGAAGGAUGCCUACUAAUGUUGUAGUACUAAACAGUAGGUAUUUGCUUCUAGUUUAAGAGGAAAAGAAUAAUGUAAAUUUUAGUUAUGGACCUUUGAUCUGUUCAUUGCAGCUGCGAUGCCAUCAUAAAUUUAGCAUCUUAAUGGACCUUUGAAAAUUCAUUCAAAAAUGAAUCUAUAGAGGGAUAUUUGUAAAUCAAUAAUUUUACUUCCAAGAAUGGUAGGGAUGCAAGUGGAUCCUGCUUGGUGGAGUUUUCGUCCCGAUCCGCUUGGAACGUAAGUUACGUAACCGUUAGUGAUAACUAAAAAUGUAAUAACUCGUUACUUUUUUUAUUUUUUUAAUAGUAAUAUGUACGGCGUAACUUUUAUUUAUUUUUAUCGUCGCUGUGCGAGCGCCCGCAGGAUUUCCAACCUACGCCCAAAACUCGCAUUGCUCUCUUUCGCCCGCGCGAUCGUUUCCAUUUUCUCGAGUCGUCUUCUUCUUCUUCCAUGGCCUCCGACCUCUUCUCCUCCCUACGUCGCCCUCGCUCGCAGGUCGAUCCCUCUCUCUUCACCUUCUCAAAACCCUAAUUAGGUUUCUCUUUGAUCGAUCUCUCCGAUCUCUGAUCCCUCUGCUUCUUCGUCUCUCCGCAGGUGGCGCCUCCACCGCCGUCGCUCCCUCACUUCCCGCGCCGUGGUUAUCAUGUCGAGCUCGGAGCUCGUGAGAAGGCGGUGAGCGAUCCACUCUUCUCCCAGUUCCCUUUUUCUUUUAUUUUAUUUUUUUCGCAAAUUUGUUGUGAAUUAGGGUUUCUAUCUUCUGAUAUUCGAGCUUUAUGGAUCGAGAUUUAGGGAGAGAUUUGGGUUCUUUUAUUGGAUAAGAAGGGAAUUGUUAUUCUUUUCUUGCCUAAACUAAUAGAAAGCUGAGAUCUUGUUGACACUUCUUGAAUUUGUUUUACCUUUUUUUUUUUUUUUUUUUUUUUUUUGAGUGGUGGACAUUUCUUGUCAUCUUAAACAGAUAACUUUUUGAGGUAAAAUGAUAAAAGGUUUUUUUCUUCUUUUUUUUUUUCAUUUGGUUAAUCAUGCUUUGCAAUGCAUUGUAAUCACAGCUAUUGGAAGAGGAUCCUGCACUGAAGAAGUUCAAAUCAUACAAGAGUAGUGUCAAGCAGGUGUCAAAAAUCGGAAAUGCCCUUACAAUGCUUGUAAUUGCUGGUAUGAUUUAUUAUCACAAAGUACUUCAAUUUUUUUUCCCCCUUUUAUGUUAUUUGUUAUACUUCUACUCAAAAAUGAUGUUACUAUUAUGUUAUGGUAGCUGAAUGUUGUUUUACUUGCUUAAUUUAUUUAGUACUUACAGUAAUGGGAACAUGUUCAUUUAUAUUGGCAUGGAGUUAUUUAUUCAACACGGUAUUUGUUUACAUUGGCAUGAAAUGAUUCUUUUUUCGCUUGUAGUCGGCAUCAAAUAUAUUCUCUCUUCAGGACCAAUGACUAUCAAUAAUCUAAACGCAGAUUGGUCGAACAUCCCAUAAUGUUGUUCGAAUGUGCUUGCAUGUGCGCGCUGAUUAUACGUACUCACUUUUCUGGAGUAAUCUAUGGUGCACCCGCUAGUAGUUUGGUUUUUCGUAUGUUUCUACUGUGAACAUCCCUUGGGCGCCAUUUUUUGGCUUGUCUAGUCCUGAUUCCUUAAUGUUGCCUGCACAGUCAAAAGAUAAUUAGAACAGGGAAGUUUCACUGAAUAUGAUCGUAGGGGUUUCUUUUUCUUUCUUUUGUAGUUUGAAACUUGUGAUUUGUGAUUUGUGAUUUGCUACAUACUUGGAGAAAUGUGCAAAUAUGAAAAUAUGAAAAAGGAAUUAGAACGUCGAAUGGUGCUGGAGGAGAUGAAAAGCUAUUAUCCGUUUUAUCUGCUGUGUUUUGUUCCUUUACUUUCACCCCUUAAAGCUUGUGCAGCUUCUUAGAAACAAACUCAUUUUGAUUUUAUUUUUCUCUUUUCUACUUUUUCAGCUUGCACUUAUGAGAUUUUUGCAGUGGCAACAACAAAGAACUAAAGGAGGCAGUGCUGUUGUAACUAGUUUGCAUAAUAAAAGAACAAAGUCUCUGCGCAUUUUAUGUGCUCCCGCUCCAUUGCUAUUCAAGUUCAAGACUCCUCUGGUUUUGAUGUAUAAUAAAUCUGUUACAUGGGUCUAUUCGGAUAUGUUAUUUUGGAUUCAACUGCUCAAGUUUCCUUUUUAUCUUUGACAUUACAAUGGCACAUGCUUUCUCAAAAUUACAGUUUCGUAUGUGAUUUACCUCAAAAAUCUGAUUUUUCACAUCAUUCACAUAUUAAAUUUUCUGCUGCAGUUCUUCAUUUCUGGUCUAUAAAGUUGCCAGUGAAGGCGGUGGGUUUUGUUGCCUUUUUGCAGUUUGCCCUCUGCUGCAUUGUUGAGUCUGAAAAUUUUGGAGUAUCUGUUAAAUGCAGUCUGAAACCUUACAUAUAUCUAUCUAUCUAAUCGCCUGUAUGUGCUGCGGUCCAACUGCAGCUGUUCUGACAAUCGAAGAUGCUUACUAAAUCCAUCUGACUUUGCACUCGUAUUUUUAUGCGUCGUUCUUUUAUUAUAUAGGCCAAACUAUCUACUUUGUCCCCCUUUUUUUUUUCCAACAUUAAUCUCUUAAUUUCGAACUGAUUGAUACUUAAAGGUGGAUUUAUUUAUUUAUUUAUUUAUUUUUUGUUGAAGCAAAGGAUGAAAAACUUUGUACAUGUUAAAAAGAAUCAGAAUAGUAUAUUACUGCGAUCUUUCAAGAUCUGAGGGAGGAUGAGGGCCGGACUGUUAGACCGAUAUUUUUCAGAAAUUUUCCAAAAUAUGGGCCCAAAAUCAGUCGGCCGGGUUGUAUCUCUCUUCAUGGGCCUGGUCUGGCCCAGGACGGGCUGCCUUCGAAGGAGAAAAAAAACAUCAAAAAAAAAAAAAGACAAAGAAAAAAAGAGAACCUUUUCUCCACCCAUCAAAAGACUGUGAGCGGUGGUGGGCUCGGAACUAACCGGAAGGGUCGGUUUCGUGCCAAGAACCAGUUGCUGACUGCUGAGCCCCAAAAAAAGAAGAAGAGGAGAUGGCGCCGAAGAAGAAGAAGAAGAAGCAGCGAGAGCGGCCUCCCUCCCCGGACCCGAGCGGCAUCUUCCACGGCAUGGUCGUCUUCCUCGUCGCAAGGGGCGUCCAAUCUCGACGGCUCCAGGUAAUAGCAAUAAAUAAAUAAAUAACACCCUUUCGAGUUCCACCAAACGUAGUUGAUCCAACAGGGUUGGUUUCUGUUCCCUUUUUUUGUUCCCCUUAAUUUCGAGCGUAGGUGUGGAAGCAGAAGCUGAUCCAGAUGGGAGCUUCCAUCGAGGAAACUCUGUCGAAGAGGGUCACGCAUGUCUUCGCCAUGAGCUCCCACUUCCUUCUCCAACAAGUGGGCCGCGAGCAGCUCAAUCGCUUCAGAGGGGUGAUUAUGAACCUAUCACUGAUGCUCGGUGAACAUGAAAUAAGAGGAGGUUUGGCUCCUUGGAAUCAAUCAUUCUAAAUAAAUAAAUAAAUAACACUGGUACCAAAUGCUGCAGAGUUUACUUCCCUAUCAGUGGCUGGAGAAUUGUCUGAGAUCAGGGGAGAAGGUGCCUGAAUAUCCAUACACUCUCAGGUUAGACGAGGCCGACAAGUCUGGCGAAGAACCGAAUGAAUCGGCCGAGGCUAGAGAUGGUGAUGAUGAUGAUGCAUCCCCGCAUAUCAAGAAAAUUAAAAAAUCAUCAGCGGAUUCCGUAGAAAAUCGUCGGAGUGAAUCUCGCGCAGCAGGUCACCGAGAUGCAUGCAAGCAUGUAGACGAGCAGGCGACGAUCGAGAAAGGACCUAGUCGCCUCGGCAGCAGAAGUAGCUCUGAAGAUGCCAACUCUAGCAUCAGUUCUCCUGUCGGGUCGGAUGCUGAGGUGUGGUGUUCAUGAAGUCCUUUUCUGUUCGCUUGUAAUACCAUCGACGCUUUAGUUCCAAUUACUGGCAAAGUGUUUUGUGGAUUUAAUAGCCAUUUUACUUUAUCGUUCUAUUUUUAGCCUUCAUCUUUGUUGACGUCGGCUGUUAUUGUUUAUGUGCCGACGACUAUCAUGUUAGCUUAAUUUUACCAUGCUUUGCCCUGGCAAUUGGUCAUGGAUAGGAUAAAAUGAGCAGCGGGCGUACAAAAUUUUGUACCAUUACUAGAAAAUAAUGAUGGGGCAACAGUUUGUUUGGGCCCUAUACGCCUUACGCUUUGUAGGGAACUUCCCUUUUCUCUUGUUCAAUAUAGGUACAGGACACCGUUACAAAAAUAAGCAGAAGGAGAAAUAGCUUCUUGAGAAAAAAUAAAAAUGUUUUGAUUAAUUUCUAGACAUAUUAUGUGAUGAAUACCGAUGCUCCAUAGUCACAAUAAUUGCUGAUUCUUAGCUACUGUAACUGAUACAUCCAGCUUCUGUUAUUGCUGUUGGCUACUAAUCUUGCUAGCAAUAAAGCGAAUCUGCUUCGUUUUUCCUUUUAUUUUUUCUGCAUUAUAUUCAGUUGGUAGAAAAAAGCAAUUAUUUUCUUGAAAAAACUCGAUUUGGUCAUUUUCAAGCUUUCAAUAGAUGCAUGCGUUACUUGUCAGGGCAAAAAAGAAAAAAGAUUGCAUUCACCUGUUUCUUUGUCGUUUUUUAGCAAGGCGGAUGCUUUUCCUUGCACAACUAAUGUUCUUCUUUUCUUCUUUAUGAGUUAAUGUCAUCAGACAGGUCUUUCGGAGCACCCCACGUCCUCGCUGUACAGUCCACCAGAUCUAAACAAGAAUAUCACUGAAAUGUUUGGGAAACUCAUCAACAUAUACAGAGGUAUUGAAGCUGGCUAUCCUUGAUCUUACCAAACUUCGGGAAUCAACUCUCUUUCUAAGAUUUUUUUUUUUGUUUUUUGUCCCCCCAAAGCCUUAGGAGAUGACAGAAGGUCAUUCAGCUAUUACAAAGCUAUCCCGGUCAUUGAGAAGCUACCCUUCAAAAUUGAAAGUGUUGGUCAAGUCAAGCAUUUACCUGCAAUUGGGAAAUCUUUGCAGGAUCAUGUAAGUUAAUAACUUUCGCUACAUCUUGCUUUGUGCCUUUUAUAUUUUGAUAUAUCAUAUAGUCUCUCGUCUUAGCAAUAUUUACCGGCUUUUUGCUCAUGUUCAUUUUAUAAUAUAGCGCGUGUUGGUGUAAGUAGAAUAAACUUUUUUUUUUGUUAAUUUUGUAAUAAAUACCAUCUCCUAAAAUUAUGAGGGGUAAGAAAAUGCUAUUGUGCAGAUUCAUGAAAUUGUGACCACGGGGAAGUUAUCUAAAUUGGAGCACUUUGAGAAUGAUGAAAAGGUAAGGCAAUUUUAUACUAAUACGUGAUCAAUGUGUGAUGUUUAUCACUAUUGAUAGGUAUUGCAUAAAACUUUAUAGAGGUGUAUCACUAGUGAUGAGUAUUCGUAUAAGCACAUGGGGUUUUUAGUGUUCUCACAUGUGAAAAAGUAUUAUGAGCACAUAUUAUUACAUCUCUGCUCUCUUUUUUUUUUUAGAGAAAGGUAGCAAACUUAACUGGGGAAUUGGUCCUCAGGUACCAACCAUUAAGCUUUGAAUUUGGGACCUCAGGUACCAACCAUUAAGCUCUUUGCCACUUGCGCUAGGGAUGGUUGAUUACAUCUCCACUCCAUCACCCUAAUUUUCUCCUAGUUUCUCUUUUUUAUGAGUGUGAGUGCAUAUUAAUGCGAGUGCAUGUUAUUACCUCUCGCAUAUAAUAUAUUUGGGUCUAAUUCAGUUACUGGCAUUGAUUAAUUUUUUAUCAUCACUAAUUUUGUUUUUUGAAGGUACGAACUGUUAGUCUAUUUGGUGAAGUUUGGGGAAUUGGUCCUGCAACUGCUCUAAAAUUAUAUGAGAAAGGAUAUCGUACGCUUGAUGAUCUGAAAAAUGAAGAGUCUCUGACAAAUGCUCAGAGGAUAGGACUACAAUUCUUUGAUGACAUUAAGAAAAGGAUUCCACGACAUGAGGUGCAACUGUGUUAUGUAUUAUCUCUAUAGGUUGGAUUUCUACUUUAGUGAUGAAAUCCCUGAAUUUCUUUUGUUUUCCUCACUCAUCUAGGUUAAAGAUAUGGAGAUGAUUUUACAAAAAGCUGCACAAGAUAUUCAACCUGGGGUGAGCAUUAUAAAAAUUGUUUCCUGUUGGUUUCUGUAGAAUUUCAUCUUUUCUUAUCAUUAAUUUUCUGGAGGGAAAACUUCAAAAUAUCCCUCAGCAUGUUGCAUUGUUUUAUUUUUUAGUGUGUGGUUCAAAUUGUAUCAUUUUCCCACUCUGUGGUUCUCCUUUUUUCUGUGAAGACCUCUAGUUAAAAUGCCAUCUAAUUGAGGACAUGACAAUCAAAUUGCUCAGUAAAAUUGCUAUAAAUAGGAAUUUGUCAUCUUAAUGUUACUUAUUCUUUUAAGUUAUAGAGGUCUAAUGAGUGUAGUUAACAUUUCGUUGUGGAAUCAGAAUACAGGCAUGUUAACUCAAUUAUAGCGAAUAGCAUGUUUCUACUUCACUAUGAAAUUCAAAUAACUAACAGAUAACCAUCCAUACCUGCUCUAUAUAGCAACAUUCUACUAUCAGGUGAUGAGCGAAUGCCUAUGCAGAGUUGCUGUAUUUUGCUAAUUAUUAAUCAGUACUAAUCAGUACUAAGAGAAGCCGAUCCUUUAAUUAGACCUUAGGGGCAUAAAGAGAUCACAGCACAAUUGAGAAAAUAGUCUCUAUCGAUUCCAAACAGAUAAAUACUCUUAGUUUGACGCUUGCAUUGUAAUGGCUAGCACAUUAUUAUGUUGGGUUAAUACUAGUGAUAGUUAGGAGAUGAGGAAGAACAUCCACACUUGCAACAAGUUAUAAUGUUCAACCUAAUAGCUCCCAAAGAUAACAAUAUUAAAAAGGAUAGUAAGCAGUGCAACAAUAUAUUGUCGCCCUUGCAUUGAUGGAAGAUAUGGUCCUAUAGAUAUGUGAAGGUCUCAGUGUAUUCUUGCUGGUGGUAGGAAGUUAUUUUAGAUUUCAUUCUCUAUUUACUUGAUAAAUAUUUGCUCAUCGUUACUGCGUAAUUCAGUUCGAUCUGACUGACAUAAUUCUUUCAGUCCUUUUGUAACUAAAUGCUUGAAUCUUUUGCUUAUGCCUAAUAUUGCUGAUCUAUUGAGGUGUUGAAGAUAAUUGUUGUUUGUGGGGGUUCUUAUAGACGUGGCAAAUCUUCUUGUGGAGACUUGGAUAUCGUUAUCACUCAUCCUGAUGGGGAAAGGUAAACCGCCGAAUGCAUUGAUAAACUUAAUAAUUGCCACUCAAUUGAUUCAGAAACAUGGGCCAUUGAUUCAGAAACAUGGGCCAUUCAUCUCUAUGAUAUUCACUUUGUUUUCUCAUGCUUCUCUUUUUUGAUGCAUUGUGUGUGUUUUGACAUUUUAGUUCUGGGAAAGCAACAUGCUCUACUGUCAAUUUUCUGCCAAUCAAUUUGUUUCCAGCAAUGUAUAACUUUCAUAUUUAAUUAAUAUAAACACGAAAGUUAUUUUUCCGUUGCUUGCUCUUCAUGAUAUCAUUUGUUAUUUAUCUCAUUUAAAUGUUUAAACUUUUUUAUAUAAUCAUUUUAUCCUGCCUAUUUAUGUUGCCGACACAUCACAUACUUUUUUUUUUUCUUUUUUGUUUUGUCCAGCCACAAAGGCUUUUUACGUAGGUAUAUCCAAUAUUUGAAAGGCAUCAACUUUCUGAGAG
rnacentral:lncRNA from 1 species